rnacentral:rRNA from 1 species
GACGAACCGUGCGAACGUUAUUCGGAAUCACUGGGCUUAAAGCGCGUGUAGGCGGGACGGCACGUCGGUCGCUGAAAGCCCCCGGCUCAACCGGGGAACGGGCGCCGAUACGACCGUCCUGGAGGGACGUAGGGGGACUUGGAACAUCCGGUGGAGCGGUGAAAUGCGUUGAGAUCGGAUGGAACGCCCGUGGCGAAAGCGAGGUCCUGGACGUUUUCUGACGCUGAGACGCGAAAGCCAGGGGAGCGAACGGG